rnacentral:rRNA from 1 species
CGUAUAGCGAAAGCUAGUUGCAUUUAAUUUAGCGAAAGCUAAAUUGGUGCAGAAUUGAUUCUAUCAAAUAAAGUUCUAGAUAGGUUAUGAUGAUGACAUUUCCUGUCUAUGUGUCUUGACCAAAUUACGUGCCAGCAGUCGCGGUAAUACGUAGAAGACUAGUGUUAUUCAUCUUUAAUAGGUUUAAAGGGUACCUAGACGGUAAAUCCAGUCCAAAAAGGAUACUAAUUUGCUAGAGUUUAAUGUGAGGGGGCANUAAAGUACUGAUAAGUGUAGAGAUGAAAUUCUGUGAUACAAUAUAAGGACAGGUAAAGGCGAAAGCAUCUCAUUAUGUAAUAACUGACGUUGAGGGACGAAGGCUAGGAGAAGCAAAAAGGAUUAGAUACCCAAGUAGUCUUAGCAGAAAAUUAUGAAUGUCAUAGGAUGGAAAUAGUGGAUAACCAUUUUUUUUCUAUAAAUGAAAGUGUAAGCAUUCCACCUCGAGAGUAAUUUGGCAACAUUGGAACUGAAAUCAUUAGACCGUUUCUGAAACAAGUAGUGAAGUAUGUUGUUUAAUUUGAUGGUCCGCAAAAAACCUUACCACAAUUUGAAUAGAAAUUUUUAUUUUAUACAAGCGCUGCACGGUUGUCUCCAGUUAAUGUCGUGAGAUCUUGGUUAGUUCCAUUAAAUUAACGUAAACCCUUACUUUAUUUAUAUAUAGAGUAGUUCACCGCUAGAUUGGAU